rnacentral:tRNA from 1 species
AGCUCAGUUGGUAGAGUAUGGUGUUUGCAACGCCAGGGUUGUGGGUUCGAUUCCCAC